AACCACAUGACGACUAUAAACGACGCUUAGAGGGCUCUUGAACUUUACGUUUUAUUUAAUUAUACAAGCGUUUUGCACGGUCUAAAAGCAUGUCGAGCGAGUGUUUUAGCUCGUUGCCCGGUAUGGCCACCAGUACACCAGUGUAAGCCUUUUGAAAGGCCUCUACGUCUGCAUAACGCUUUCCUUUCAUAGGCAAAUGCAUUUUUCCGCAAAGGCAGAAGUCGCACUGUGCCAAAUCAGCGGAGAGUAUCGAAUUUACCACCCGUAAGGUGCGCACAUAAGCAAAACGCUGACUAUUCACGUCUACAAACGUCGCUCAGAGGGCUCUUGGAAUUGAGCAUAAAACUACAAAGCUGAUACUUGCAGC